rnacentral:tRNA from 1 species
AGGAAAAUAGUUUAAUAAAAAUAUAGGCUUUGGGAGCUUAUGACGCUAUUAAUUAAUAGCUUUUCCUA